rnacentral:tRNA from 1 species
AGUGGUAUGCCUGAUUAAAGGGUUAUCUUGAUAGGAUAAAUCAUGUUUACAUACAAAACUCCCACUA